GGCCCGAGAACCCAAAGGGAGGGAGCUGUGUUUAGCACAGGUUGUGGGGAAGCAGCACAAGGAGGCUACAAAGUAGAGAGUGGGUCUGGAAAACAGCAGCAUGCCUGAAGAAACAGACCUGGCUAUUUAAUACAGGAUCCCUAGCCUGUAACUCAGAGUGGAGGGGGACUGAAUUGUGUGUGACGUGACAAGAGGGCUGAGCGAUGGAAGAACCAGUGAGUGGCAGAUGGCCUGCACGAGGUGCCAGAGACUAAGACCCCUUGCAGCAUUGUAACCUGUCAAGGGGGCACUACAGGUGAGGCAGUAAAUGAAGAUGUUCAUUUAAAACUCCACUUUAUUAGAGACACGUCAGGUACACUCUCAGAAUCUCUCUGAGCAUGGGGUGCCACGUGG